AUGGAAAGCUUUAUAGAGCAAGUGAUCUUUAAAUAUUUAAGGGCAGAACCUGAAGACCAUUAUUUUCUUUUGACUGGACCUCCGCUGAAUACUCCAGAAAGCAGGGAAUAUAUUCCUGAAAUAGUGUUUGGGUCCUUCAAUGUUCAGGUUUGUACAUUGCUGUGCAGGUUGUUCUUGCUGUAGCUACAUCCUGGACCACAAGACAAAUAGGAGAAUACAUGUUGACUGGUAGGUUAUAGACAAGUUGAAACGGUGUCACUCAUGGCAUUUCCGCGCCUGAAGGGUAUGUGAUUGGCAGCUGUAUUAAACACAUUCCAAUUGCAGGAUGAGCUAUAACAUAUCUUACUCAGCAACUACUGAGAGACCAAGAAGUAGGAAUCCCUCCAGAGCAAUCCCUGGAAACUGCUAAGGCAGUAGAGGAUCACUAUAGUUAUGUUAGCUCAGAUUUAGUAAAAGAAUUUAAAAAGUAAGGUGCAGAUGGGUCGCAGUGGAUUUAAACAGUGUAUAAGAAUCAAUGCCAUCUCAAAUAAAUAAUUUUCCAUCGAUAUUGGACAUGAGAGAUUCUUGGGACCUGAAAUCUUUUCUCAACCAGGUUUGCUAAUCCAGACUUUAUACAUCCCAUCUCAGAUGUUGCAGAUGAAGUAAUUCAGAAUUGUCCUAUUGAUGUGAGACAUCCUCUCAACAAGAAUAUUGUUGUCUAUGGAGGUUCAACUGUGUUCAGGGACUUUGUACAUCACUUGCAAUGAGAUAUGAAAAGAACUGUAGAUGUCAGGCUGACCUUAAGUGAGGAAUUAAGUAGCAGUAGAUUGAAGCCAGAAGCUAUUGAUGUACAAGUCAUUACACACCACGUAGAGCAAUAUGCAAUUUGGUUUGGAGGACCAAUGCAGACUUCUAUGCUUGAGUUCUAUCAAGUAUGCCACCCCGAAAAGGAUUAUAAAGAAAUCGGACCUAGCAUUUGUCAUCACAAUCUAGGGUUUGGAGUCAUGUCAUA
rnacentral:lncRNA from 1 species